CACAUUGAUGUGAGCUGAGAAGCCGAGUCGUGCAGUCAUUGACUAUCCUUCGUCACCCUGUAAAGUGGCUUAAGUGAGAUCCUGUCUCGGAGGCACCGGCUUCUCUCCUUCCUCGUGUGCAGGUGUUUCCACAGCAUCCUGUAUACACCUUCUGCAGGUUCUCAAGAAACGCCACUCUGCCUCUGAGGGAGGAAGCACAGUUCAGAGAACCCCUGUCCUCACGGUCCCCUCAGCACAGUGCAGUGGGAUCAGAUCCGUCUUCCAGUUUCACUGGAGUUCCAGUUUCCCAGAGUUCCUGGGUCUCAUUUCUCAUCUGCGGAGAAAGGCAGCGAGGAUCUUUCUAGAAACGAAUUAUGAGUGCAAACUCAGCAAAACCACCCUCAGUAGAAAGGCCAGAACUGGUAUGUAUUAAACUGGUGUGUAUUUCGGAGAGGAACUUCUACUGCCA
rnacentral:lncRNA from 1 species